GCAGACAAUACCCUACCUACUACAAGACUCGGACUCAGUGCGACGAUUGGAUGUCUUUUUUAUUUCCUUCUUCGUCACUCGUCUAGGUCUAGUCGUCUAUUUCGUCGAGUCAUCGCUCGGGCAUCCCUUUUCCGAUUUUCGUUUUUGUCAUCGGCCAUCCCUUUUUUUCGUUUUCAUCACUCGGGCUCGGGCACCCCUUUUCGUUUUUUUGUUUUUGUCACUCGUCAUGCCAGACCCAGUCGGCAGUCGCCAUGAGUAACUUCAUGUUAGCCACUAUUUUCUUCCGCUUUCUGAUUUUCGUCACUCGCCAGUUGUCAUGGAAAAUAGUGAGUUGAUCGAUAUCGACAACGAAAAUGAAUCACCACCUAUAAAUAUUUCCGUUCCCGAGGCAUGUUCUAAACCAUCUAAAGUCAUUGGCAAGAGAAAACCAACUAGACCAUCAUCUUCAGUGUGGGAUCACUUUACAAAGAUGGAAAGAUCUAACACCGAAGGUAUAAGAUGCAAAUGUAAUUAUUGUGAUAAAAAUUAUGCUUGUGACACUUCUUCAUGUGGAACAAGUACCUUAUGGAAACAUUUACGAAAACAAUGCAAAAAUUAUCCAUUUAGAGAGAACCUAAAGGGAAAACCAUAUUAAAAUUUCAACCGAAUGAAAGUGAUGCAAAAGGUGCUAUCAAUAUGAAUUUUUUGUCUACUGCCUUUAGUCAACAAAGAGUUAGAAAUACAUGUGCUAAGAUGCAAGUAUUGUCUGAGGUACCAUUUAGAUUUGUAGAGAUAGAGGGGUUUAAAGAAUUUUGUAAUAUUACAUGUCCUAAGUUUGAUAUUCCUUCAAGAAUCACAAUUGCUAGGGAUAUUUAUCAGUUGUAUGUGGAUGAAAAAAAAUUGUUGAAAUCAACUUUAAUCAAAAGUGGUCAAAGAGUGAGCCUAACAACAUAUACUUGGGCUUCCUUACAAAACAUCAAUUAUAUGGUUCUUACAGCACAUUUUAUUGAUUCUAAAUGGAAUUUACAGAAAACAAUAUUGAAUUUUUGUCAAGUGCCUGAUCAUAAGGGAGAGACAAUUGGUAAAGUAAUUGAAUGUUGUUUAUUGGAUUGGGGUAUUGAUAAAGUUUUUUUUCAAUUACUGUUGAUAAUGCAACUUCAAAUGAUUUAGCAAUCUCAUAUAUGAAGAGAAAACUAAAGAUUUGGAAGUCUCUUAUUUUGGAUGGUGAAUUAUUGCAUAUGAGAUGUUGUGCUCAUGUUAUGAACUUGAUUGUCAAUGAUAGAUUGGAAGAAUUGCAUGAUUUGAUAGCUAGUGUUCGAAAUGUUGUAAGAUAUGUUAGAUUUUCUCCUAGGCGAUUAAAAAAAAUUUUAGAUUGUGUUGGACAUGAAAAGAUUGAAUCUAAAGCCCUUGUUUGCCUGGAUGUGUCUACAAGAUGGAAUUCAACAUAUUUGAUGCUUGAUCAUGCUUUAAAAUUUGAAAAGGCUUUUCAAUGCUUAGAAGAAGAGGAUGAAGAUUUUUUACAUCACUUUACUGAAGAUGAGAAUGGAAAGAAAAGAAAGGACCACCAACCUUAGCCGAUUGGAACCAUGUUCGAACAUUUGUCAAAUUUUUUGAAGAUGUUUUAUGAUCUUACAUUGAAGGUUGUAACACGACUGACGCGUAGAGAGUUGGAGAAGUCUUUUAAUGGUAAGCCAUAAAAGGGCAAGAAAAUAUGUUAAAUAUGGAACGUUGGGUUCUCAGGUGAAGUAGGAGCAAGUUAACACCUAGAGAGAGGAGAGAAUUCCAUGCUUUGGAACUGGUAGGCGCCAUGUGACCAGCUUGGUUGAAUGAUGUGGCCAGAGGCCCAAGGAGGGAGCGUUAGCUUGGUGGGUGAUUUUCGUAGGUUGUAUGAAAAGGAGAGUUGAUAUGGAUAAUUUAAGUUUUAACAUUUAAAUUCUCUUCAAUUCAGUGAUAAUUGAUGUACUUGGCUCUUUGUUUAUAGGUCUUAAUGUGUGAUUAAGAGUCUGUAAAUUUGUUAGAGUCAAUAAAGUUGCAAUUAGGUUGUAAUUGAAGAAAGAAGCGAGAAAGGUCACCUACAGAAUUUCAGUUUUGAAGCUACUCUGAUGCGGCGUCGCAACGUUGCCCUUAGAGCGUUGCAACGUUGUUCUUCGUUCAGCCCAGUUUUUUAAGAACAUCUCGAAGCAUUGCAACACUAUUUUGAAGCAUUACAACGCUGCGUUUAGAUCAAGUGUUGGUCUACAAGGGAUCGCUGAGGAGAUUCAAGUUGAAAAUUGACGAUUUGAAGAGUUCAACAAAGGUAUAUCUUCAAAACCCUAUUUUAGUUUAUGUACUUGCCUAUUUCUAUGCUAAAAUUGAUGGAAUUAGAGUGCUUAAGAUCCUAGUUACAUGCUAACAUCAACAAUUGGUAUCAGAGCAUGAUUUAAGCACUCAAUUCGUGUUAAUUUUAGCUUGGUGGGUGAUUUUCAUAGGUUGUAUGAGAAUGAGAGUUGAUAUUGAUAAUUUCAAUUUUGGCAUUUAGAUUCUCUUCAAUUCAGUGAUAAUUGUUGUAAUUGGCGCUUUGUUUAUGGCCCUUAAUGUGUGAUUAAGAGUUUGUAAAUUUGUUAGAGUUAAUAGAGUUACAAUUAGGUUGUAAUUGAAGAAAGAAGUAAGAAAGGUUAGCUGCAGAAUUUCAGUUUUGAAGCCACUAUAAUGCAAGGUUGCAACGCCAUUCUUUAUUCAGCCCAAUUUUUUAAGAACAUCUCGAAGUAUUGCAAUGCUGUUUUGAAGUGUUGCAACGUUGCACUUCAUCCAUUCCAGAAACACGCGCGUGCGACUCGAACAGUUCGAAUGUGGAUUGAUUCAACUAGUUCAGUACGUGGAGGACCAAUUCAACAUUAUUUUGAUCGGUUCAACCCAUUUUGGAGCCUUGAAGGUCUGGUUCAGGUCGGGUCGUGCAGUUCAGAGCCUAUU